UACAGAGGGUGCGAGCGUUGUUCGGAAUUACUGGGCGUAAAGCGCGCGCAGGCGGCUUUCUAAGUCUGGUGGUCAAAUGCCGGGGCUCAACCCCGAGCGUGCCAGGGAUACUGGGAGGCUGGAGACAGGUAGAGGCAAGCGGAAUUCCGGGUGUAGCGGUGGAAUGCGUAGAGAUCCGGAAGAACACCGGAGGCGAAGGCGGCUUGCUGGACCUGGUCUGACGCUGAGGCGCGAAAGCGUGGGGAGCGAACAGG
rnacentral:rRNA from 1 species